UACGUAGGGACCAAGCGUUUGUUCGGAUUUACUGGGCGUAAAGGGCGCGUAGGCGGCAAUUCAAGUCAUCUGUGAAAUCUCCGGGCUUAACCCGGAACGGUCAGAUGAUACUGCUUUGCUAGAGUGCGGAAGGGGCAAUCGGAAUUCUCGGUGUAGCGGUGAAAUGCGUAGAUAUCGAGAGGAACACCUGAGGUGAAGACGGGUUGCUGGGCCGACACUGACGCUGACAGCGCGAAAGCCAGGGGAGCAAACGGG
rnacentral:rRNA from 1 species